GCAGUGGAGCAUGUGGUUUAAUUCGAUGCAACGCGAAGAACCUUACCCAGGCUUGACAUGCAGAUGACCGCUCUAGAAAUAGAGUUUCCUUCGGGACAUUUGCACAGGUGCUGCAUGGCUGUCGUCAGCUCGUGCCGUGAGGUGUUGGGUUAAGUCCCGCAACGAGCGCAACCCUUAUCAUUAGUUGCCAACAGGUGAAGCUGGGAACUCUAAUGAGACUGCCUGGGUUAACCAGGAGGAAGGUGAGGAUGACGUCAAGUCCGCAUGGCCCUUAUGUCUGGGGCUACACACGUGCUACAAUGGUCGGUACAGAAGGCAGCGAAACCGCGAGGUGAAGCAAAUCCAACAAAGCCGAUCUCAGUUCAGAUUGUAGUCUGCAACUCGACUACAUGAAGACGGAAUUGCUAGUAAUGGCGAGUCAGCAACAUCGCCGUGAAUACGUUCCCGGGUCUU
rnacentral:rRNA from 1 species